rnacentral:rRNA from 1 species
UACGGGGGGGAGCAAGCGUUGUUCGGAUUUACUGGGCGUAAAGCGCACGUAGGCGGAUCGAUCAGUCAGGGGUGAAAUCCCAGAGCUCAACUCUGGAACUGCCUUUGAUACUGGGUAUCUUGAGUAUGGAAGAGGUAAGUGGAAUUGCGAGUGUAGAGGUGAAAUUCGUAGAUAUUCGCAGGAACACCAGUGGCGAAGGCGGCUUACUGGUCCAUUACUGACGCUGAGGUGCGAAAGCGUGGGGAGCAAACAGG